rnacentral:rRNA from 1 species
GAUGAACGCUGGCGGCGUGCCUAACACACGCAAGUCGAGCGAACAGACCAUGAGCUUGUGCCUUCGACGUUAGCGGCGGACGGGUGAGUAACACGUACGUAACCUACCUAUUAUACUGGGAUCAUUUCGGGAAACCGGAUCCAAUACCAGAGAAUAUUUCGAACCGCAGGGAUCGGUAGUGAAUGGUGGCUUUGCUGUCUCUUAUAGAGGGAGCUGCGCUGUAUUGGCUAGUUGGUAAGGUAACGGCUUACCAAGGCGACGAUACGUAGCCGACCUGAGAGGGUGAUCGGCCACACUGGAACUGAGACACGGUCCAGACUCCUACGGGAGGCAGCAGUCGGGAAUCUUCCGCAAAGGGCGAAAGCCUGACGGAGCAACGCCGCGUGAGUGAUGAAGGCCUUCGGUUCGUAAAACUCUGUUAUUGGGUAAGAACAGCCGUGUAAGGAAACGAGGACGUCUUGACGGUACCUAAUCAGAAAGCACCGGCUAACUACGUG